rnacentral:rRNA from 1 species
UGUCCGGAAUUAUUGGGCGUAAAGAGCUCGUAGGCGGUUUGUCGCGUCUGCUGUGAAAACGCGAGGCUCAACCUCGCGCCUGCAGUGGGUACGGGCAGACUAGAGUGCGGUAGGGGAGAUUGGAAUUCCUGGUGUAGCGGUGGAAUGCGCAGAUAUCAGGAGGAACACCGAUGGCGAAGGCAGAUCUCUGGGCCGUAACUGACGCUGAGGAGCGAAAGCAUGGGGAGCGAACAGG